UACAUGCAAGUCGAACGAACUCUGGUAUUGAUUGGUGCUUGCAUGCAUGAUUUACAUUUGAGUGAGUGGCGAACUGGUGAGUAACACGUGGGAAACCUGCCCAGAAGCGGGGGAUAACACCUGGAAACAGAUGCUAAUACCGCAUAACAACUUGGACCGCAUGGUCCGAGUUUGAAAGAUGGCUUCGGCUAUCACUUUUGGAUGGUCCCGCGGCGUAUUAGCUAGAUGGUGGGGUAACGGCUCACCAUGGCAAUGAUACGUAGCCGACCUGAGAGGGUAAUCGGCCACAUUGGGACUGAGACACGGCCCAAACUCCUACGGGAGGCAGCAGUAGGGAAUCUUCCACAAUGGACGAAAGUCUGAUGGAGCAACGCCGCGUGAGUGAAGAAGGGUUUCGGCUCGUAAAACUCUGUUGUUAAAGAAGAACAUAUCUGAGAGUAACUGUUCAGGUAUUGACGGUAUUUAACCAGAAAGCCACGGCUAACUACGUGCCAGCAGCCGCGGUAAUACGUAGGUGGCAAGCGUUGUCCGGAUUUAUUGGGCGUAAAGCGAGCGCAGGCGGUUUUUUAAGUCUGAUGUGAAAGCCUUCGGCUCAACCGAAGAAGUGCAUCGGAAACUGGGAAACUUGAGUGCAGAAGAGGACAGUGGAACUCCAUGUGUAGCGGUGAAAUGCGUAGAUAUAUGGAAGAACACCAGUGGCGAAGGCGGCUGUCUGGUCUGUAACUGACGCUGAGGCUCGAAAGUAUGGGUAGCAAACAGGAUUAGAUACCCUGGUAGUCCAUACCGUAAACGAUGAAUGCUAAGUGUUGGAGGGUUUCCGCCCUUCAGUGCUGCAGCUAACGCAUUAAGCAUUCCGCCUGGGGAGUACGGCCGCAAGGCUGAAACUCAAAGGAAUUGACGGGGGCCCGCACAAGCGGUGGAGCAUGUGGUUUAAUUCGAAGCUACGCGAAGAACCUUACCAGGUCUUGACAUACUAUGCAAAUCUAAGAGAUUAGACGUUCCCUUCGGGGACAUGGAUACAGGUGGUGCAUGGUUGUCGUCAGCUCGUGUCGUGAGAUGUUGGGUUAAGUCCCGCAACGAGCGCAACCCUUAUUAUCAGUUGCCAGCAUUAAGUUGGGCACUCUGGUGAGACUGCCGGUGACAAACCGGAGGAAGGUGGGGAUGACGUCAAAUCAUCAUGCCCCUUAUGACCUGGGCUACACACGUGCUACAAUGGAUGGUACAACGAGUUGCGAACUCGCGAGAGUAAGCUAAUCUCUUAAAGCCAUUCUCAGUUCGGAUUGUAGGCUGCAACUCGCCUACAUGAAGUCGGAAUCGCUAGUAAUCGCGGAUCAGCAUGCCGCGGUGAAUACGUUCCCGGGCCUUGUACACACCGCCCGUCACACCAUGAGAGUUUGUAACACCCAAAGUCGGUGGGGUAACCUUUUAGGAACCAGCCGC
rnacentral:rRNA from 1 species